AUGCCGGGCUGGGCACGUCCCAGAUUCCGGGAGCCAGAGAGAAGUCCUGGCAUCGGGGCCGCAGGUGCAUCAGGACACCCAGGCAGAGUGAGAGCCGGGGUCCUGCCUGCCCUGGGGGCUGGAGUGAUGAGUGUGGCGACCUCAGAGUGCCUGCAAAGCCACCUCCAGAGAAGGACUCACAGAGACAACAUCGGGCUCUGGGAGUUAGAAGGGAGGUACUUGGUGGAAGGGCCUGGAAGACUAGAAAAUGAUGAGCCUUCGAGAGGAGGGCCACAUGGGCGCCCUGGGAGACCUUUGCUCGGCAUGAGCUUUGAAGAUGUGAGAACCCCCAGGACCCAAGUCUGGCAGAGAAGAAGCUCCCAAUUCCAUCCACCUCUCAUCUCUCCCUCCAAGUGUCUUGGAGAAAGCCAGAGCUCCGCCCCUAAGCUGUCCUGUGGCCAGUGGGUCACCCCACCAUCCACCCAGCACCCCCAUCCCAUCACCCCCCUCCUUUGUUGUCUUCAUAGCGUUCAUCACAAUCUGAACUUGCCUUGAUUGUUUUCUGUAAUAGUUUCAUGUUGGCUCUCUCAUGAGAGCGGGGACGGAGUCUAUCCUAUCCACUGCUGUGUUCGCACAGAAUACACACACCCGAGCGCAGUGCGUAGUAGGUGCUUAAUGAACGGGUAUUGAGUGGAGCAAAGAAUCCUCCCUAGUGACCAGCUUGUCACAUGUCACAGAUGCAACCUCCCCCUUCCUUGCACAUGGCAGACGGGCACGGGCCCUGAGCGCCGCGGCUGCAUUUUACCCACACCUGGGUCGCCAGGGCCCAGAACGGACCCCCGCGCAUAAUGAGCGCUCCACAAACCUCUGUGGCCUGAGUGCAUUGUCAGUGCACUUCUUGUCUCUGAGCCCUGUCUCCAGAGCUGACUUUUCUGUGGGUGGUAACGGUCACAUUGGGAAAAUGCCCGUGGGGACUCAAAAACAGGCUGCCCCCUCUUCUGGGAGGCAGAAGAGUGAGCACAUUACAAGUGGGACAGUGGAGUCAGACAUGCUGUGUGACCCCCAGACAGGAGCUUCCCUCUCUGAACCCCAGAUUUCUCAUCUGGACAAGCGAAUACCAUGUGUGCCCGUCGGGGGCUGCUGUGAGGAGAAAUAACCCACGUCCGGUUCCGAACAGAGAGCCUGGCACAUGGCAACUGCUGGGUAUUUGGGAGCUUUUAACAUCCACAAAACCAGUGUUGCUCCCUCAUACCAGUGCAGCCUUGGAAGGCACCUCCCCCUCUUUUGGUGGAUAUGGUGUCCACAUACCCUGCUCGCAGCCAAAUGCGUGCUAACAUCAGGGGUCCCGGCUCCUCCGUGGCCCCCUCUGGGGUGAGGGAGCUAGGCGGUGCACAGUCCAACCAGCCUCCCUCCCAGCCACACAGGGCAGCUCCACUGGGUGAGGAUCUGAGGCCGCAGCCAGCUGGCUUCCCGGCCACUCAGGCCACCUGGACAUCAAGGCGUCCCCUCUCGUCUCAGAUUGCUGUGAAGAUGACCCACCCACCGCGGUGGGUGG
rnacentral:lncRNA from 1 species